AGCAGCCGCGGUAAUUCCAGCUCCAAUAGCGUAUAUUAAAGUUGUUGCAGUUAAAAAGCUCGUAGUUGAAUUUCAGGCCUGGCUGGACGGUCCGCCCUUCGGGUGAGUACUGUCUGUGGUCGGGUCCUACCUUCUGGCGAAGCGUCAUGGCCUUAACCGGCCGUGGCGGGGAACCAGGACUUUUACUGUGAAAAAUUAGAGUGUUCAAAGCAGGCAAUCGCUUGGAUACAUUAGCAUGGAAUAAUGGAAUAGGACAAUGGUUCUAUUUGUUGGUUUCUAGGACCGUUGUAAUGAUUAAUAGGGAUAGUUGGGGGCAUUAGUAUUCAAUUGUCAGAGGUGAAAUUCUUGGAUUUAUUGAAGACUAACUACUGCGAAAGCAUUUGCCAAGGAUGUUUUCAUUAAUCAAGAACGAAAGUUAGGGGAUCGAAGACGAUCAGAUACCGUCGUAGUCUUAACCAUAAACUAUGCCGACUAGGAAUCGGGCGAUGUUGAAAAAAUGACGCGCUCGGCACCUCAUG
rnacentral:rRNA from 2 species